rnacentral:rRNA from 1 species
AACGAACGCUGGCGGCGCGCCUAAUUACAUGCAAGUCGAGCGAGAAGACGUAGCAAUACGUUUGUAAAGCGGCGAACGGGUGAGGAAUACAUGGGUAACCUACCCUCGAGUGGGGAAGUAACUAGCCGAAAGGUUAGCUAAUACCGCGUACGCUCCUUGGACUUCGGUUCGAGGGAGGGAAAGCGAUACCGUGGGUAUCGCGCUCUUGGAUGGGCUCAUGUCCUAUCAGCUUGUUGGUGAGGUAACGGCUCACCAAGGCUUCGACGGGUAGCUGGUCUGAGAGGACAAUCAGCCACACUGGCACUGCGACACGGGCCA